rnacentral:rRNA from 1 species
ACCGGCGCACGGGUGAGUAACACGUAUCCAACCUGCCGACAACACUGGGAUAGCCUUUCGAAAGAAAGAUUAAUACCGGAUGGCAUAGUUUUCCCGCAUGGGAUAAUUAUUAAAGAAUUUCGGUUGUCGAUGGGGAUGCGUUCCAUUAGGCAGUUGGCGGGGUAACGGCCCACCAAACCAACGAUGGAUAGGGGUUCUGAGAGGAAGGUCCCCCACAUUGGAACUGAGACACGGUCCAAACUCCUACGGGAGGCAGCAGUGAGGAAUAUUGGUCAAUGGACGAGAGUCUGAACCAGCCAAGUAGCGUGAAGGAUGACUGCCCUAUGGGUUGUAAACUUCUUUUAUACGGGAAUAAAGUUAGCCACGUGUGGCUUUUUGUAUGUACCGUAUGAAUAAGGAUCGGCUAACUCCGUG